UUGGUAUAAAGAUAAGCAGUUUAUUUAAUAUCUAAUUAAAUGUAGUCACCAGAGAAAUCACAGCUUAUGAAACUUUAUCAGAAAAAGAUUAAUCCAUUUCAGGCUUAACCCAAAUGUCAGAAGAGAACUCAUGAAUUUAGAUAGGAAUCCACAUAUUAGGCAAAGAAAUUUUCAUAUUGAGUAGAAAGAACCUAUAUUACUGACUAUAUUUAUACUUACUUCAAUCAAAUUUAUAUACUUUGUAACUAUCACUGAUGUCAGGGGCAAUUAUCAUAUAUAAUAACUUAAUAGGGAGCCUCUCUCUAUUUGUCAAAAAUGUCUACAAUGUCCUUAAACACUUUAUGAAUUUAUAGAUCCCAUCCAUCCAGAAACUCAGAAAAUUACAUAGACUGUGUCAUCCUAAUUCAAAAAUAACAAUUCAACAAAAAACGUUGGACUCAAACACUGGAGAAGUGAGAAAGGAGAAAAUGAUUCCUUCCUUUGAAAGGCUCAUGGAAACCAUGAGAGCUAAACCUUUAAACGAGCAGCCACGGAUAUAAAGUAGUGACUACCGUACAGA
rnacentral:lncRNA from 1 species